UAAUAGAGAUGUAGAUAGAUUAUUGAAGUUACUGGAAGACUUCUAUAAGAAGAGAUAUCCACAUUCAUCACAGUACGAGCUGUAAUACAAUUAUAUGCUGUGCGUUUUCAGAAACAUGAGCCAAAUGGACCCAUCUUAAACUACUGGCCAUAUUGCGCAUUUGUAUUGAAUUUCAUGUAAACAAGCUUUUGAAAUAAAAUUGUCACCUUGUUUUUUGUGCGCGUUUCGGACACUUGUGAAGAAUUUCUGCGUUGUACGAUCGCAUCGACGUGACAUUUGUAUUCAAAUGUGCCGCAAACUUGCACGAUGCAACUUUUGUUUCGCCGAUAAAAUAUUAUUAUAACAUAACAAGUAUACAAUGUACAUACCACAGGUGUGGUUGCAAUGAUAAUUUAUGUAUAUUGGUCAACUGAUUGUUUUUUGGGUAUCUUUAUAUUCUAUCCUACAUGAUAAGACUGUUAUCUAGGUUCCCAGGCAAGUAAUGCUUAUGGCAGCUUCACACUAUUCACUGUUAUACAAACAUAAAACUUAAUUCUUUAUACAAAAGUUAAAAUGAAAUAUUGGUUAAAUAACAGCACGCAAGGUGUUAGGUGACAGCGAAUUUAAUAAAACUUAAAUCCAGACGAACAUUGCUUUAUGUACAUAAUAUUGACAUCAGUUAGUUAAAUUAGUCACGCAAUUGUUUAGCGCCAAUUACUAUGUAUUCUUGAGACUGCAGUUUAUA